rnacentral:rRNA from 1 species
GACGAACGCUGGCGGCGUGCCUAAUACAUGCAAGUAGAACGCUGAAGGAGGAGCUUGCUUCUCCGGAUGAGUUGCGAACGGGUGAGUAACGCGUAGGUAACCUGCCUGGUAGCGGGGGAUAACUAUUGGAAACGAUAGCUAAUACCGCAUAAGAGUAGAUGUUGCAUGACAUUUGCUUAAAAGGUGCAAUUGCAUCACUACCAGAUGGACCUGCGUUGUAUUAGCUAGUUGGUGGGGUAACGGCUUACCAAGGCGACGAUACAUAGCCGACCUGAGAGGGUGAUCGGCCACACUGGGACUGAGACACGGCCCAGACUCCUACGGGAGGCAGCAGUAGGGAAUCUUCGGCAAUGGACGGAAGUCUGACCGAGCAACGCCGCGUGAGUGAAGAAGGUUUUCGGAUCGUAAAGCUCUGUUGUAAGAGAAGAACGAGUGUGAGAGUGGAAAGUUCACACUGUGACGGUAUCUUACCAGAAAGGGACGGCUAACUACG